GGUACUGUUAGAUUAAUUUUGUGGGACAUUAACAGCAGCAUCAGUAGCAACAUCAGCUUUAGUUAAUGAAUCCUGGAGAGUUAAGUGACUUUACUU
rnacentral:pre_miRNA from 1 species